GCCAAGCCUGAGGGGUGGCAGGCUCGGGGGUCCCACUGCCUUCUGAGGUGUCUCCGUGUUGCAGAUCCGGCACUCCACCCAGAGCCUCUUUGAGUACAUGAAGGGCAUUCAGAGCGACCCGCAGGCCCUGGGCAGCUUCAGCGGGACCCUUCUGCAGAUCUUUGAGGACAACCUUCUGAAUGAGAGGGUGUCCGUGCCGCUGCUGAAGACGCUGGACCAUGUGCUCACCCACGGCUGCUUCGACAUCUUCACCACGGAGGAGGAGUGAGGCUCUGCUUUUCAUGACUUCCUUUCCGAUUAAGCCUAAGUAGCUCAUGUAUUAAAGAAAAAGUCAUCAGACACAGAGAUCAGAAUUCCAGGAAAUGAUCUUCCAGUGCGUUCUGGCCACCCCUUUGCUGUGAAGUUGCUUGCGCUUUGUAAGAAAGAAAUCAAGAAUUCAAAAGAUAUCCAGAAGCUCCUGUCAGGCAUCGCAGUGUUCUGCGGGAUGGUGCAGUUCCCCGGCGACGUGAGGAGGCAGGCCCUCCUGCAGCUGUGUCUGCUCCUCUGCCACCGUUUCCCGCUGAUCCGGAAGACCACGGCCAGCCAGGUGUACGAGACAUUGCUCACCUACAGUGACGUCGUGGGCGCGGACGUGCUGGAUGAGGUGGUGACUGUGCUCAGUGACACCGCGUGGGACGCGGAGCUUGCAGUGGUGAGAGAGCAGCGCA
rnacentral:sRNA from 1 species